rnacentral:tRNA from 1 species
GGCGGGAUGCUGGAGUCUGGUUUAACAGGAUUGUUUCGAAAACAAUUGUGCCGAAAGGUACCGUAGGUUCGAAUCCUACUCCCGCCG